rnacentral:misc_RNA from 1 species
AUCAUGUUAUUACUGGAAUGACACAACAAAAUAAUAUAUUUUAUUCAUUAAUAAUUAAAGGAAAUAAUAUUUAACAUAUAUCUACAAUCUGUCUCUGAAUCGUAUUAUCAUACCGGCAGAUUUAUGAGGAGUGUUUUGGCGCACGUACCUCUGCCCGAAAUUUUUCAAAUAUUAGAUUUCGUUUUAUGAAUUAGAAAAUUAUUGUAAAUAAAAUAAUGUCUAUCACAACACAAUGAAAUUGAUAAAUUCGAUGGCUAUAUGAUAUGAAUUAACCUUCAGUAGUUAAAAGGCAGAUGUAAAGGGACUUCAGGGAGUUGACAGAUUUUCAAGUAAUCCUAAAGAUUGAGUGGAAGUGGUUGUUAUAUAGAUGUUAGUUUCUACUAUGCAGACUCUACUGGCCAUGCACUACUGAGACACUCCACAAAUAAUGCACAGGGGCCAAUCCCGUUUUAGCAUUAAUUUAUGGUUACAUUGAAAUUAAUGUUAAAACGGGCUUGGCCCCUGUGAGCAAACUCUGAAAAAAAAGAUACAAAAAUAUGUGAAUUAUUAUAAAACUUAGUUCUAUACCAGUUUUAAUUCGUUUUCAGAUUCAUCAUUUGCACAAGAAAAUCGGGUUAAAAAUCCACAUAUCAAAAACUUAGUUGUUAAGUUUGAAUUCAGUGUGUUUGUGUAAAUAUAUAACUACCGUUGUAAAUUGGUUUAUUUACACCCUCACAUUAAAUUUAAAACAAAAUAACAAGACACGCCCUACCGGUGCUCUACAGUUUUGCAUAGCGGCAAUCUGAGUUCAAUCAUAUCACAAUUACUAUAGCACAAGAGACGGGAGAGUUUCUCAAUGCUGCCUGUACUUUGUGUAUUUAUUUAAUCUGUGUCGUUUGGCGAGUGAGCAAGUUACUGCUGAUAAAAAUGUCUUUACUAAUUAACU